UCGAGCGAAGCAUUUCAGUAGUUUACUACAGAAAAUGACUGAGCGGCGAACGGGUGAGUAACGCGUGAGCAAUCUACCUUAGUUACAGGGAUAGCCCGAGGAAACUCGGAUUAAUACCUGAUAUUCUUUAUAUUUCGCAUGAAAUUAAAAGGAAAGGUCAGCCGAACUAAGAUGAGCUCGCGUUCUAUCAGCUAGUUGGUGAGGUAAAAGCUCACCAAGGCUACGACGGAUAGCUGGUCUGAGAGGACGAUCAGCCACACUGGGACUGAGACACGGCCCAGACUCCUACGGGAGGCUGCAGCAGGGAAUAUUGUGCAAUGAACGAAAGUUUGACACAGCGACACCGCGUGUGGGAUGACGGAUCUAGGUUUGUAAACCACUUUCAGGAGGGAAGAAAAUGACGGUACCUCCACAAGAAGCCCCGGCCAACUACGUGCCAGCAGCCGCGGUAAUACGUAGGGGGCGAGCGUUGUCCGGAUUUAUUGGGCGUAAAGAGCUCGUAGGCGGUUCAACAAGUCGUUCGUGAAAGUUCAGGGCUCAACCCUGAAAUGUCGAUCGAUACUGUCGUGACUAGGAUACGGUAGAGGUGAGUGGAAUUCCGAGUGUAGCGGUGAAAUGCGUAGAUAUUUGGAGGAACACCAAUUGCGAAGGCAGCUCACUGGGCCGCUAUCGACGCUGAGGAGCGAAAGCUAGGGGAGCAAACAGGAUUAGAUACCCUGGUAGUCCUAGCUGUAAACGAUGGAUACUAGACGUAGGAACUGGAUUGACGGUUUCUGUGUCGCAGCUAACGCGUUAAGUAUCCCGCCUGGGGAGUACGGUCGCAAGACUAAAACUCAAAGGAAUUGACGGGACCCCGCACAAGCGGCGGAGCAUGCGGCUUAAUUCGAUGAUACCCGUAGAACCUUACCUGGACUUGACAUAUAGGGUCUAGCUAUAGAGAUAUAGUGUGCAUUAGCGCCCUAUACAGGUGGCGCAUGGCCUGUCGUCAGCUC
rnacentral:rRNA from 1 species